GUAGUUAGCCGGGGCUUCCUCCUCAGGUACCGUCACUUCCUUCUUCCCUGAGGACAGAGGAUUACAAUCCGAAAACCUUCUUCCCUCACGCGGCGUUGCUGGGUCAGGCUUGCGCCCAUUGCCCAAUAUUCCCCACUGCUGCCUCCCGUAGGAGUCUGGACCGUGUCUCAGUUCCAGUGUGGCCGAUCAGCCUCUCAGCUCGGCUACCCAUCGUCGACUUGGUGGGCCGUUACCCCGCCAACUAUCUAAUGGGACGCGAGCCCCUCCUUCAGCGAAUUGCUCCUUUGACCCCUCUACCAUGCGGUAGCGUGGUCUCAUGCGGUAUUAGCAGUAAUUUCUCACUGUUAUCCCCCGUCUGAAGGACAGGUUGCUCACGCGUUACUCACCCGUUCGCCACUAACUCAAGGAGCAAGCUCCUCUCGUCCGUUCGACUUGCAUGUGUUAGGCACGCCGCCAGCGUUCGUCCUGAGCCAUAACUCAAACUCUGA
rnacentral:rRNA from 1 species